UUCAUAACAUGUCGCCGUAAAAAAAAAAAACCGCUGUUACACAGAAGACAUACCAUCCAAUCGUAGAUAAUGUCUGAAGCGGCUCUUGAGGAAGUUUCCGUUUUAUCGUCCAUAUUGUACUGCGGAGAAAGAGUUCCAGCUCAUCCAGAUGAUAUAACUGACGUUAAGUAAGCUGGCGUUCAUGUCGCUGCCAACGCUGGCGUACCGAACAUGUAGGUUGCAACGAACCCACCACGUCAACGUGAUCUACAACCUCAAGUCUUUGGCAAAAAGACAAAAUGCGAAAGUACGAUGUUGAAGCCUCGGUGUUUAUGUCGCCAGUUGCAACCAACAUUGACAACAUACACGUUUCCAAGUGACGUUACAGCCUCAAUGACGAUUAUCAAGUGCAUGGUAACAAUGUGAUAAAUACAAUUGCCAUAUGGUCAACGAUAUCCCAUCUCCUCAAUACAGCUUUCAGAGCUGCCAACUUUUCAAAAAACCUUGGAGUGAGAUUUUGUCGGGGGUGACCAAAAUGUUGCCGCGCACGCAGCCACACAAGUUGGUGGCUCAAAUAUCAGGAAAUUAGUAGUUCAGUAAAGUUAGAAAGAUAUUUACAGAUUCGGACUUCCCGGCUCAAUAGCUCUCUCACGAAACGGAGUUAAAACACAAACAACACCUCUCUGUGACCGUAGUGAUGUCGACAACAAGCUACAACCUUCAUUUUACCAAAAAAAGCCGGUCUCCGAGAUCGAUGAAUAACGGGUCUCAAUGUGCGAUCAGCUGUGAGACCUAAGCCCAGGGACCGUCUGCAAAAAGCAAUCCAGAAAAAACAUUCCAAAAAUAUUCAAUAGCUCCACUGAAAGAUUGUGAAGGCUGACAGAACUUAUACCAUAUGUCAAAUGGCCACCAUGUAAUGUACUACAGCUGGUUUAAAAAAAAAACUCAUCUUAUAUAAUUAUUAUGAAUUAUACUUAAUAUUUUAUGGAAACAAUCUUCAAUAGCUUCACUGUUAUCAAGUGUAGGAUGAAACCAUUCAUUUCCUACAUCAAUGGGCUCCACAUGAGUGGACUACACCUCUUACUUUAGAGAAAAAAGAUUUUGAAUAUUUAUUAUGAAUAUUUUGUCAGAAUUUAUGGAAACGAUCUUCAAUAGCGUCACUGUUAUCAAGUGUAGAGUGAAAUCAUUCAACAUCUACAUCAAUGGGCUCCACAUAAAUGUACUACACCUGGCCGGCUAUACCUCAUGAAUCAUUAUACCAUGGGUUUAAUCUUGUACGGCACGAGAGAGCAAAUGGCCAGGCAAGGGUUAAAAAAGGUGAGUAAUUAUAUUAUUACUUAACAUCAAGUUGUUUUGAAACAAUCCAUUUGAAAAAGCAGCUUUACUUUUUUGGUUGUUCCGUUGGAGGAAAGAUACAUAAUGCAUACUGGGUACAUUCUAUUUGAGUUUUGCAGCAAAAUACAAUUAUUUUUCCAUUUUUACGCAUGUUGUCAGGUCACAUUUGAUGACUAUGAUGGAGCCAUUGCUUUUGUCAACAUAAGAAAUGUGCACUGGAAGUUUGUGAUGAAUAUGCAGCUGGUCAUGUGGUACAAUGUGCCUUUCCAGCAUUCAUGGAAACAGAACAUCAAACAGGAUCCCGUUGGUAGUCCCCACUGCUACUUUAACAAUUUUUGUUUUCUUUGAUUGAGUAUGACCCCAUAUUGUGUAACUUAUUUUCAGACUAAUAUUCAGUACUUUCAAGUAAACUGUUAAAAUAUGCCUAUUUAACGUGGUUUGUUUCUUUAUUUACUCACAGUUGUGAUUAUCUUGUGUACAAUAAAUAUACUUCCAAUGUUGCUCAUUCAUUUAGGUUUUACAUAAAUAAAAUGUAUUAUGUUAUUAUUGUUGCUGUUGUUGGUAAGUUUAGAAUAUGGCAUGCUUUAACACUAUAUUACUUUUUAAAACAGUAUCUCCAUGCCCUUUCAAACCGCAUAUUUGUGGUUGAUCCUCUGCAAGGGUUAAAUGAAGUUGACGACUAGAAAGGCUGGCCAAAGAUUUGGACAGUAUUUCAAAAUGCGCCGGAACAGACUUGGAAAGGAGGACUGGGUGAACAUCAAGUGGCAGCCGGGCCAGAUAACCCACAGCUGCCAGAAAGAUGGCAGCAGUUGUGGGAUCUUUGUCAUUCAGAUGGCCAAGUUGACGGUGAUGGAACUUUCAAAGAUUCCGCAGCAUUUUCGCAUCAACUCAUCUAAACAAUCUAUUGAAAAGCUAAGAAGAGUCAUGGCUGAAGACAUUCUGAAACAAUCAGUUUCAAAGGAUGAGCUCUGUUCCUUCUGUGGAAUUGUGGACCUGCCCAAAACUGCUGUUGAUGCUGUUUGGAUUCAGUGUGGAACUUGCUCAAGAUGGUUUCACACGCAGUGCCUUGGGAUGACAGCAGCACAAAUACCAAACAACAUUGGUAUUGUGUGUUGUGUAACUGAACACUUAGGAAUAUGUAUAUCUGACUUUGUCGGAUACACUUGUUGACUUCAAGUUUAUCAAGUUAAAUGUUGUUCAAGCCGAACCAGUCAUGUAUAUAUUGGUAUCUGAUCGUUCAUAAAGAUUAAAUGUGGGAACUACUUGACUAC